CACCAUGUCUUGACAAAUUUGCAGGCAUGUUUUCAACUGGAUUUAAAGGCAUACACUCGAUAUCCAUGACAAAUUCAACCCCAAGUUCAGGUCGGUCAAACUGAACACGACAUCUGGAGCGAUCGACUGUUAGCACACUGCCAUCAUGAAUCUCUCUUGUUUUAGGAUGAAUAGCAAUGACACGCUGCCCAACUGACAAUGGCUUUGCAAGAUCUGUGGGUAGACCUUCUCUUGUACCUUCGCGAAGCUCAUUAUAAUGUGUUCUGACAGAUUCUCGGUAUUGAUAAAGCUUCUCCUUUUCUUCAUUCAAAAAUUGCUCAGAGAAUCGCCGUGGUUUUCCAAGAGAACUUCUUAUGACACCCCACUCAACACGAGUUAACCUUGGAACAUGUCCCAAUCCAACAUGAUGCAGGUACUCCACAAAUUCCCUUUUGGCAAACCAGG
rnacentral:misc_RNA from 1 species